rnacentral:rRNA from 1 species
UGGGGAAUUUUGGACAAUGGGCGAAAGCCUGAUCCAGCAAUGCCGCGUGUGUGAAGAAGGCCUUCGGGUUGUAAAGCACUUUUGUCCGGAAAGAAAUCCUUGGCUCUAAUACAGUCGGGGGAUGACGGUACCGGAAGAAUAAGCACCGGCUAACUACGUGCCAGCAGCCGCGGUAAUACGUAGGGUGCAAGCGUUAAUCGGAAUUACUGGGCGUAAAGCGUGCGCAGGCGGUUUGCUAAGACCGAUGUGAAAUCCCCGGGCUCAACCUGGGAACUGCAUUGGUGACUGGCAGGCUAGAGUAUGGCAGAGGGGGGUAGAAUUCCACGUGUAGCAGUGAAAUGCGUAGAGAUGUGGAGGAAUACCGAUGGCGAAGGCAGCCCCCUGGGCCAAUACUGACGCUCAUGCACGAAAAGCGUGGGGAGCAAAACAGGAUUAGAUACCCUGGUAGUCCACGCCCUAAAACGAUGUCAACUAGUUGUUGGGGAUUCAUUUCCUUAGUAACGUAGCUAAACGCGUGAAGUUGACCGCCUGGGGAGUACGGUCGCAAGAUUAAAACUCAAAGGAAUUGACGGGGUCAUAGCUG